rnacentral:rRNA from 1 species
UACGUAGGGGGCUAGCGUUGCUCGGAAUCACUGGGCGUAAAGGGUGCGUAGGCGGGGCUUUAAGUCAGGGGUGAAAUCCUGGAGCUCAACUCCAGAACUGCCUUUGAUACUGAAGAUCUUGAGUUCGGGAGAGGUGAGUGGAACUGCGAGUGUAGAGGUGAAAUUCGUAGAUAUUCGCAAGAACACCAGUGGCGAAGGCGGCUCACUGGCCCGAUACUGACGCUGAGACGCGAAAGCGUGGGGAGCGAACAGG